UACAGAGGUCUCAAGCGUUGUUCGGAUUCAUUGGGCGUAAAGGGUGUGUAGGUGGCGCGCUAAGUCGGGUGUGAAAUUUCGGAGCUUAACUCCGAAACUGCAUUCGAUACUGGCGUGCUUGAGGACUGGAGAGGAGACUGGAAUUUACGGUGUAGCAGUGAAAUGCGUAGAUAUCGUAAGGAAGACCAGUGGCGAAGGCGGGUCUCUGGACAGUAACUGACGCUGAGGAGCGAAAGCGUGGGUAGCAAACAGG
rnacentral:rRNA from 1 species